GUCUUGCCUCACCAAACCAUUUUCAAAUUGAUUGACAGAGAGAUCCGUAAUGUCGUCUACGCUCGUCGCCAUCGAAAGCAUUUUGGAAACUUGAUGCAGUUCUGGAUCCGAUGAGUCGUUUUCUUGUUGUGAUUGAACUUUUGGUUUUUCACUAUAAUUGUUGUCCUGUUUUUUAUCUUUUUUUGGCUCGACAACAAAACUCUAGGCUUUACUCUUUGUAAUCCCUAAAAUGUUCAUUUUCUAAUGAUAUUUAUAGUUAUAUCAAAAAAAAAAAAAAAAAAAAAAAAAACUCAAAUGAUGUGUGCGGGAAACGAGCGUCGUCUCGUUACUCGAUGCACGAACUCGAGCCAAUAAGAUAUUUUUAAAAUUUAUAAAACUGGUUAUUUACUUAUUACUAGUAAAGAUCUUUUCUUAAUCUGUUCCUUA
rnacentral:lncRNA from 1 species